rnacentral:rRNA from 1 species
CAACUUUCAGCAACGGAUCUCUUGGCUCUCGCAUCGAUGAAGAACGCAGCUGAAUUGCAGAAUUCAGUGAAUCAUCGAAUCUUUGAACGCACCUUGCGCUCCUUGGUAUUCCGAGGAGCAUGCCUGUUUGAGUGUCAUGA